rnacentral:rRNA from 1 species
GACGAACGCUGGCGGCGUGCUUAACACAUGCGAGUCGAACGGAAAGGCCCUGCUUGCCGGGUACUCGAGUGGCGAACGGGUGAGUAACACGUGGGUGAUCUGCCCUGCACUUCGGGAUAAGCCUGGGAAACUGGGUCUAAUACCGGAUAUGACCUUCCAUGUAGUGUGGGGGGUGGAAAGAUUUAUCGGUGUGGGAUGAGCCCGCGGCCUAUCAGCUUGUUGGUGGGGUAAUGGCCUACCAAGGCGUCGACGGGUAGCCGGCCUGAGAGGGUGGACGGCCACAUUGGGACUGAGAUACGGCCCAGACUCCUACGGGAGGCAGCAGUGGGGAAUAUUGCACAAUGGGCGGAAGCCUGAUGCAGCGACGCCGCGUGGGGGAUGACGGCCUUCGGGUUGUAAACCUCUUUCGACAGGGACGAAGCUUCGGUGACGGUACCUGUAGAAGAAGCACCGGCUAACUACGUG